CCUUGUUCGUGCCUGAGCCUUCAAGUUGCUCAUACAUAACUGAAAAUAUUUAAUUUAAGCAAGGAUGAGCAUUUGAGUGCCCAGCAAGUAAUAGCAAUUAUAUAUAUAAGCUGAAAGAAUAUAAGUAUUCUCUUUACAUAACACUUCUACAAUGAAUCGAAAGUUGUGAAGUAAUCUGUACUGAUAAAAAAUUCACAUAACAACUCUCUUUCAAUUUCUUGAAAUUAGGAUCCACCCAUGAAUAGGGUUUAAGAAAUAUACUAUGAACAUUCUUUUCAUUUUCGAAAAGGUUUAGCAGAAAUUCAUCCGCAAACCAUCAUAACUUACAGGCACGGAGGGUGAUCAGCCCCGUUGUACCCUGUAUUUAUCAAUACUACAUAACUUGAACGAAAUUCAUCGCUCACUCUAUCCGCCUUGGGCUCAAAAAUCUUCCCAUAUAGGGAUGUUCAUACAUGCUUGGUUCCAAACCCGAAGGUUUUUAAUCUUGCUCAACAAUAAUAUGUAAUUCAACAUAUAUGUAUACGGGUAAUUGACAAAGGUAUAUCAACAUGUGAAUAAAUGCCAUGAUUAUCCAAGUGGGGACACUUGUAUAACCAUUUAGAAAUCAACUUAACAGAAUAUAUAUCUGAGCUAACAUGUUGAUAAUCAAAGCGUACAUAAUCUGUACAGGAAUAGAAUAAUUCUGAAACUUCUUACUCAUGUCCAUUGCAUAAAG
rnacentral:lncRNA from 1 species